rnacentral:rRNA from 1 species
GUCCACGCCGUAAACGAUGAAUACUAGGUGUAGGGGGUAUCGACCCCCCUGUGCCGCAGCUAACGCAAUAAGUAUUCCACCUGGGGAGUACGGCCGCAAGGUUGAAACUCAAAGGAAUUGACGGGGGCCCGCACAAGCAGUGGAGUAUGUGGUUUAAUUCGACGCAACGCGAAGAACCUUACCAGGGCUUGACAUCCUCUGACGACGCAAGAGAUUGCGUUUUCCCUUCGGGGACAGAGAGACAGGUGGUGCAUGGUUGUCGU